UUUUUUUUUUUUUUUGAGAGAUAAAUAGCACGCUAUCCGUUUCGUUUAUUUUAUUUAGAAAUAAAUUUAGCUGAAAAUGUGAAUCAACUAGGAUUCAAAUUUGAGUCUCGGGUACCAACUACCAAGCCCUUUACCACUUGCUCUAGGGACGAUCGGUAAAUCGACAUAAUAGUUGCAUGUCAAGAUUGUACCGCUAUAUAGAGUGAGGCUACUAUGCUAUUGGAAGCACGGAGCCUUCCGUGUUUUCAGCUCGUUUUCGAUGUUGCGACUUUCGAAUCGUCGAUCGGCUCCGUUAAACUUGAUUUAGAGUAUUUGAAGUACUUAGAAAAUAAAUUUUAUGAUUUUACGAUAUCAUUUGCCUAGUGAACGAAGGGGCUCAAAAUCAACAGCUGAAAAUAAAAAUCUUAUAAAAUAUAAUAAUAUGAUAUUAAAAUUUUAAAUCAAAGAUAUUGAUCUUGUUUUAUAUAGUAUAAAGAAUUUUCUAUCAAAAUUUCACGUGAUUUGGAUAUUUCUACACCGUUAAACUUGCAAACGGCUCACUACGGCCAUUGAAAUUUGUUGAUUUUGAGCCCAUUCGAUCACUAGGCAAAUGAUAUCGAAAAAUAAUAAAAUUUAUUUUCUAGGUACUUCAAAUACUCUAGAUCAAGUUUAACGGAGCCGAUCGACGAUUCAAAAGUCGCAACAUCGAAAACGAGCUGGAAGCACAGAAGGCUCCGUGCUUCCGAUAGCAUAGUAGCCUCACUCUAUAUAUAUAUAUAUAUAUAUAGAGAGAGAGAGAGAGAGAGAGAGAGAGAGAGAGAGAGAGAGAGAGNAGCACUAAGCAUUUGGUAUUAUCGAUAAUAUAGUAGCCGGACUCUUUCUCUCCAUAUAGUCCGACUAUUAUACUAUCUAUAGUACUAAUUGUUUUGUCCUAUCGAGUUUUCUGCUGUUAGAUAUAUAUAUAUAUAUACAGUCCGGCUACUAUACUAUCGAUAGUACCAAGCCUUGGUAUUCUUGAGUUUUCUACCAUUAGAUCCACCCUUUGAUCAUUUCCACCCGUUAGAUAAUACUAUUAAACCAACCACCUACUCAACCAUAGGAGACCACUAUCAAUUUAAGCGGGGACCGCUAUCAUUCUAACCGCAUAUCUAUUCAUCCAACGGCCGAAAACUCAAUAGUACCAAAGGCUUGGUACUAUUGAUAGUACAGUAGCAUAU
rnacentral:lncRNA from 1 species